UACGUAGGGUGCAAGCGUUAAUCGGAAUUACUGGGCGUAAAGCGUGCGCAGGCGGCUAUGCAAGACAGAUGUGAAAUCCCCGGGCUCAACCUGGGAACUGCAUUUGUGACUGCAUGGCUAGAGUACGGUAGAGGGGGAUGGAAUUCCGGGUGUAGUGGUGAAAUGCGUAGAGAUCCGGAGGAACACCAGAGGCGAAGGCGGCCGACUGGACCUGACCUGACGCUGAGGCGCGAAGGCGUGGGGAGCGAACGGG
rnacentral:rRNA from 1 species